rnacentral:sRNA from 1 species
ACCUACCACGCGUAGACCGCGGCUCCGGCCGUGCCGCCCGCACCCCAUCUGACAACCGCUUGCCAUGCCUUGCUGGCC